rnacentral:rRNA from 1 species
UACGAAGGGAGCUAGCGUUGUUCGGAAUCACUGGGCGUAAAGCGCACGUAGGCGGAUGUGUCAGUCAGGGGAGAAAUCCCGGAGCUCAACUUCGGAACUGCCUUUGAUACAGCACGUCUUGAGUCCGGAAGAGGUGGGUGGAAUUCCUAGUGUAGAGGUGAAAUUCGUAGAUAUUAGGAAGAACACCGGUGGCGAAGGCGGCCCACUGGUCCGGUACUGACGCUGAGGUGCGAAAGCGUGGGGAGCAAACAGG